UCCUUGGUGGCUCAGUGGUAAAGAAUCUGCCUGCAAUGCAGGAGACAGAUUCGAUCUCUGAUCCAGGAA
rnacentral:tRNA from 1 species